AGGCACCGCACUCCCCAGGCGAGUAGAGCCGGCCACCCCGUCAGCGCUUCGUGGAUAAAACUUUCCUGUCGUAGGUGCAGAACCGGGUUCUUCCAGAACUCCCUGCAGCCCAAGGCUGGGUCUGGACCGCCACGGUGUGCAGCGGCUGCAGCAGUCCAGGCCCAUGGAUCAUUACCAUUUCCCCCAGAGGGAACGGCCCGCAGCGGCCUCCGUGCCAGCACACGAGCGGGGGUUGCAGCGUUCAGAGGGGAGGGAGCCCAGGGAACGGCAGAGGAGGAGGAACUUUUCCGGGGGUUCGGGUUCUCGGCAUCAUUGCUGCUACUUUCAAAACAAAGCGAAGGGACCGGUGCUGCAGCAUGGCUGGCUAAACCGCCACUUGGGAUGCCGGGAUCCGUAUUGGAGCACCAUUUCCAGUCCCAGCUGCUCCGCUUCUCACCCAGCCUCCUGCUAAUGAGCCUGGGAGAGUGGCAGAAGAUGGCCCACGGGCCUGAUCCUGCCUCCUGGCUUCAGUCUGGCCCAGCCCCAGCUGUGUGCUUAUUUGGGGGAGUGAAUCACAGAUGGAAGACUCUCGCUCGCUCUCUCUCCUCUCCUCUCUCUCGCUCUUUCUCUCUCUGUCACUUUGCCUUUCAAAUAAAUUAAAAACAAAACUAACCCCUGGCCCUUACUGCCGUCCCACCGUCGUGUGGCUGUGGUGGGCUCCUGCACGACACUGAGCGACCCCCAUCCGUGUUGUGCAGGAGCAGCAUGGGGCGGGAUGGGCGAACCACGCAGGCCUGUCAAGCUACCCCAGGUGGGAGCCCGGCUUAGCUGAGACUGCUUGUUCUUGGAAAGAGCUUUAUUCGAGGGCCUGGCUCCCUCCCGAGAGGCUUCGUGCUGGCUCCAGGAAGGCCCUGAGCUCACAGGAGGUCAUGCAGGGGGCCCGGCGUGGGUGCACUGGCCGCUCACUCGUCCUCCUCUGGCCUCAGCCACAGCACCAGCGGAGUGCGGCCAGACGUUCCUAUGUGUGAUUCAUAACCGGGCAGCUCAAACAUUUCGGAGCUGUUUUGGAAAGCCGGAGUGGUUUUCCCAUGAAAAGAAGAAAAUAAAAGCUUUUCCAUUUCAAAGGAAAGGUCA
rnacentral:lncRNA from 1 species